rnacentral:rRNA from 1 species
GUCUAUGGCCAUGCUACCCUGAACAAGCCUGAUCUCGUCUGAUCUCAGAAGCUAAGCAGGGUUGGGCCUGGUUAGUACUUGGAUGGGAGACCACCUAAGAAGCCCAGGUGCUGUAAGUG